rnacentral:rRNA from 1 species
AUACGGAGGACGCGAGCGUUAUCCGGAUUUAUUGGGUUUAAAGGGUGCGCAGGCGGGAGAUUAAGUCGGCGGUGAAAUUUUGCAGCUCAACUGUAAAAGUGCCUUCGGAAAUGGUUUCCUUUAGUGUAGAUGAAGGAGGCGGAAUUUUUGGUGUAGCGGGGAAAUGCAUAGAUAUCACGAGGAACUCCGAUUGCGCAGGCAGCUUACUAAACUACUACUGACGCUCAGGCACGAAGGCGUGGGGAUCAAACAGGAUUAGAUACCCUGGUAGUCCACGCAGUAAACGAUGAUUACUAGCUGUUUGCGAUACAAUGUAAGCGGCUGAGCGAAAGCGUUAAGUAAUCCACCUGGGGAGUACGUUCGCAAGAAUGAAACUCAAAUGAAUUGACGGGG